GACGAACGCUGGCGGCGUGCUUAACACAUGCAAGUCGAACGGAAAGGCCCCUUUGGGGGUACUCGAGUGGCGAACGGGUGAGUAACACGUGAGUAACCUGCCCUUGACUUCGGGAUAACUUCAGGAAACUGGGGCUAAUACCGGCUAGGAAUCCUUGCUGCAUGGUGGGGGUUGGAAAGCUUCGGCGGUUUUGGAUGGACUCGCGGCUUAUCAGCUUGUUGGUGGGGUAGUGGCUUACCAAGGCGUUGACGGGUAGCCGGCCUGAGAGGGCGACCGGCCACAGUGGGACUUAGGGACGGCCCCGACUGCGACGGGAGGCAGAAGGGGGGAAGAUUGAACAAUGGGCGGAAGCCUGAUGCAGCAACGCCGCGUGCGGGAGGACGGCCUUCGGGUUGUAAACCGCUUUCAGCAGGGGCGAAGCUUGUGGUGACGGUACCUGCAGAAGAAGCACCGGCUAACUACGUG
rnacentral:rRNA from 1 species